GAGUGGGGGUGUCAGAGUCCACUCACAAACUGAUCAGCUGACUCACCGGGUGUGGAGCAGGUUCCCUCACAGAUCUCUGUUUAUCCCUAACCAUUCUCUCCUUUCCUCACCUGUCUCCCUGUACCCGCCGGCUGAAGGAGCUGCAAAGCGUCAUGGAAUCCGCAGGAGAAGAACUUGAAGAAGAAGCCUGCAGAAUAAACCAGGAAGAUGAAAACAUUGAAACCACCCCCGAAUAUGCUGAAAAUGCAUCCAGUUCUAUUCCAACAACCCCAACAGCUCCCCCCAACAGCCUGCCUCUGACAGGGGAACGACAAAUGAAGAAGAAAGUGUUAGCAGCUCCAGCUCUGAGUCUGUCAUUAGGUGGCAGUGGGUCGAUAACCUCUGACAACCUACAAUCAGCCUUCCUCUCCCCCUCACCAGAAGAUCUAGAGGACACAGGGCUGGAUUUUGAUUUGGACGCCAUAGAAACGCCAUCAGACAGUGAAUCCUUGCACUUCCCCAUCUAUGACCUGGACCUUGAAGAGGACCUCCUGCGGCUCGGUGUGGCCUCCCACCACAACAGAGUAUCUGGAUCCGGAUCCAGGUCAGGCUCAGGGCCCGGUUUCUUAACAGGCCCUGACCAGUUUGGACUGGGAGCUUUGGAAAGGGAGGACAUGGUGGACGGAGAAGGUACCAAGUGGCGCUGCUUCACCACAGGCGACCCCCCGCAGGAGUCCAGGGUCAACAUGAGCGUCCUGGAGCCUUACCUGAGGGUGUUGUCACACGGAGGUUACUACGGAGAUGUUCACAAUGACAUCAUUGUGUUUUCCUCCUGCUACCUUCCAGAAAACAGUCUGGAAAACUACCAGUAUGUGAUGGAUAACCUCUUCAGAUUUGUAAUUGGGACCCUGGAACUGAUGGUUGCAGAAAACUAUGUGAUAGUCUAUCUGUGUGCAGGAGGCCAGAAGGAAAAACUCCCAGGAAUCGGGUGGCUUAAAGAGUGCUACACCACCAUAGACCGGAGGUUGAGGAAGAACCUGAAGGGUUUCUAUGUGGUUCAUCCCACCUGGUACAUCAAACUCCUCAUCACCAUCAUCAAACCCUUCAUCAGUUCUUUUUCCGUUUCACGUUUUCAGCUCUAAGUUCAGCAGAAAGCUUCAGUUCGUGAACACGCUUCAGGAGCUUUCCCAGUUCAUCUCUACUGAACAUGUUCAGAUCCCAGACUGUGUCAGACAGUACGACCAGAACCAGUCCAGGUGAAGAUCAAGUACAGCCUGAAGUGAAUAAAAUAUUCCUCUCUGGUAUUGAUUGCGUCUCACCUUGCAGGAAGUGAUUAUACAUCACCUUCAGACUGUAUUUAAGGAUGAGGAUUAUGCUAUUUUUACAAAUGUAUUGUGUAAAUGGUGUUGAUGGAGGCUUUGCUUUUUAUAUAUUUUUAAAAAAUCUCUUUUUUUUAUUUUUGAAGAGAAAACAGCAUAAUACAGAUGCACAAUGUACACACGCUGCCUCAUUUCUGUUUUCACUUCUCAAGGGACAUUUUGAAAGCAGAUUUUUUAUAGAAAGUUCAGGUUAAUGAGAAUUUUCUGUCCUUUCCUCCAUAACC